GUCUACGGCCACGCCACCCUGAACGUGCCUGAUCCCGUGUGAUCUUGGAAGCCAAGCAGGGUCGGGCCUGGUUAGUACUUGGAUGAGAGACCACCUAGGAAGACCAGGUGCUCUAGAAA
rnacentral:rRNA from 1 species